GGUAAAUUUGCUUUGUAAAUUGUUAGUUUAUUUUAAAAAACAUUGUUUUAAUUGUCUGCAUUGGAUAAUGAAAAUUUGAUGCCACCCAAAAAUGGCGGAUAUUCGUCACCGUGAGAAAGGCUAAUUUGAUAAUUGAAUUUUCUGCCUGUGGGUCGAGUGAUUUAACUUUAAGCUCUUAGCCAAUCAAAUUGCUUUUACCAACUACAAUGUAUAAUAAUUCUUGUAUAAUAGUACUCUGUUAACAAUACACAACUAAUUGAAACUGACCAUUUCAGGUACUUCAUCUGCAAAUCCAACUGAACUAUUUUUAGAACACUCAAAAAUGACAAUACGUUGGACUUGAUUGGCUUGUACACAUUGGUAUUUUGUCACAUAGUUCAAUUGUUGUUGUCUAUAAG